rnacentral:tRNA from 1 species
GCUGGGGAUAGCUUAGUUGGUAGAGCAUGAGACUCUUAAAUCUCCGGGUUGUGGGUUCUAGCCCCACAUUGGGCG